CUCUGAGGAUGGGGUCUCUGACCCUGCCUGAGGAGAAGAACGCUGACCAUUCCUAUAAAGCCCUGGUUUUCUCCUUCUGCUAGAAUCUGGUUUUUCAGGCUCUGCUGAUAUCACUCUGGUGACCCCAGGGCAGAUUCACUGCAACCAAAACAAUUACAGAGCACCUUCCACAUGCUGUACGGGGCAGCAGAGAUAAACGAGACAUGGGUUGCUGGGAUCAGAACUGUCCUGUUGCACAAUUCCAGGGCAUUCUAUGUGAGGUCUAUCUGACUUGGUUGAGAUAAUGAGACAGAAGACAUAAAGGAAAGCUCUUUGUGAACUUAAAGGAACCGUGCAAAUCAGGAAGAAGGACUCCCUGCGUGUGAGUGCGUGUCAACCGCAUCAAUCCUGGCUUGUAGAAAAUGUACUGGCAGGGCGAGAGGCAAAGCAUUGUGGUGGGAAAAUCACAGGACUAGUGGUAAAGAGACCAGAUUCUGGAUUUGCUCAGCUGUGACUUGCUGUGUGACCUUGGGGAGCCUUCAUCCACUGCUGCUGGGCUAUUUCCUGGAAACAGCAUGGAGUUGGCCUGGAGGAAUGGCCUGUUUCAUGGAGUGGUGCCUCUCUGAGCUCACACCACUCAGCCCCGAAGAGGCUGCCUUUUUGACUUGAAAAUGUAGGUGGAAGCCACCUGGCCUCCUCUCUCACACCCUCAGGAAAACUUCACUUCUAUUGGGAUGUAUCCUAUAGGUCUAUGAGCUCACUGGACCACUACCACCCCUGGACCGAAGGGGCGGGAUUGCAUGGUUGUCUACAUUGUAGUUGGCUUGGCCUGCAUACAGUCACUCAGUCUAUUUUUCUGAAGGAAUUGUGUCUUUUAAUCUUUGUCCACAAUCCCAGGGACCUCAGUGAUGGACACCUUUUAAAAACUGAUAUAAAUAAUUCUUUAGUUCACAAUUACCACCUCUGAAAGCAGGAUGCUUGGAAAGCUGGUACAAUUUGAGGCAACAAUUCAGACUCAGUCAUCUCUUCAGAAAAGUUCUUAAGAAAUGUAUAGAGGAAACCAGAUUGCAAUCUGUUUGUGACAAGCGGCGGGAGAACAUAAUGUCUUCGUUGGAAACUGGAGUAAUGCUGGCAUGAAGUGGCACCUCCUCCCCUACAAGACCUCCUGCUUCCUCCCAUUUUGUGAGCGAGACUAUGAAACUCUCUAAUGGUUUUGCCGAAAUAAAUCUAAGCCCUUAAAAAUGUCACCCAACCUCAUAGUUCC